rnacentral:rRNA from 1 species
AUUGAACGCUGGCGGCAGGCCUAACACAUGCAAGUCGAGCGGAUGAAGGGAGCUUGCUCCUGGAUUCAGCGGCGGACGGGUGAGUAAUGCCUAGGAAUCUGCCUGGUAGUGGGGGAUAACGUCCGGAAACGGGCGCUAAUACCGCAUACGUCCUGAGGAGAAAGUGGGGGAUCUUCGGACCUCACGCUAUCAGCUGAGCCUAGGUCGGAUUAGCUAGUUGGUGGGGUAAAGGCCUACCAAGGCGACGAUCCGUAACUGGUCUGAGAGGAUGAUCAGUCACACUGGAACUGAGACACGGUCCAGACUCCUACGGGAGGCAGCAGUGGGGAAUAUUGGACAAUGGGCGAAAGCCUGAUCCAGCCAUGCCGCGUGUGUGAAGAAGGUCUUCGGAUUGUAAAGCACUUUAAGUUGGGAGGAAGGGCAGUAAGUUAAUACCUUGCUGUUUUGACGUUACCAACAGAAUAAGCACCGGCUAACUUCGUG